rnacentral:rRNA from 1 species
GACGAACGCUGGCGGCGUGCUUAACACAUGCAAGUCGAGCGGGGAUCCCCGAAGUUUUCGGAUGGAGGGGAUUCCAGCGGCGGACGGGUGAGUAACGCGUGAGCAAUCUGUCCCGGAAUGGGGGAUAACAGAUGGAAACAUCUGCUAAUACCGCAUAAGACCACGAGGUCACAUGGCCUUGGGGUAAAAGGCGCAAGCCGAUUCGGGGUGAGCUCGCGUCCGAUUAGCUGGUUGGCGGGGUAAGAGCCCACCAAGGCGACGAUCGGUAGCCGACCUGAGAGGGUGAUCGGCCACACUGGAACUGAGAAACGGUCCAGACUCCUACGGGAGGCAGCAGUGGGGGAUCUUGCACAAUGGGCGAAAGCCUGAUGCAGCGACGCCGCGUGAGCGAAGAAGGCCUCGGUUGUAAAGCUCUGUCUGGAGGGACGGAACGAAAAUAGACGGUAACCGUCCGGACGGAAGGACCGACGGCCGUAACUAACGUGCCAGCAGCCGCGGUAACUACGUAGUCGU